CGGAUUACUUUUCCUAAUAAUGCGGCCCGUUUACGCCCCCGCUUCGUCGGCCUCGAAAUCAUGGCGUGGUUUGCCGCAAUGUCGCCCUGAAUCCCAAUUCGGAAUAGUGCUUUAAAAGCUAUUCGAUGGCGUCUUGGAGUUGGCUGAGCAACGAAACGGGGGAGGGAUUUGGUUGAUUGGGGGAUCAAGAAAAGAGGAGGCUAAAUCGCUUCUCCCACCAAAAUUUUAGAAUCUAACAUGGAACAUCCACAGAUGACUACUCAUGAAUGAUCUGAGUAUUCCAGAGUUCACCUUGUACCGAUGGUACUGAUCGACUGCCACAUCUGCAUUGCUGAAGUCCAAAAUCCUCCCUGCCAAAAACACUUUCAAGCUUACGAAACAGAAUUCAGAAUAUGAGUGCUUUUGUCUCUCUCGACGCAAGUCAUACCUGGUCGUCUUGUGAAAGUAUCCUAUAUACUUUUUCCCCUGUUCCCCUCACCAGCAGCUCCUUCAAACUAAGGUUAUCAGCAACUCCAUUAACUUGUGCAGAGCAAGAUGCAGCUGAAUGUAAAAGAGACAUUUCUGCAUGACCUCACACCUGGUAAGCUGAAGAAGCUGUUCCGAAAACGAAACCACUGGGGAAGUCAUCUCUUCUGAUAGCCUCACUGGUUGCAACGAUACUAACAAGGAUAUAGAGUAUUGCUAACGCUGCCAUGGACUUGCUAAGCUUGGGAAGCUUGUGUGUUAUGCUGUUUCUUGCAGGUGCAUAGUAUUUAUGCAUUUAGGAUUAAAGAGGUGCAGGUGGAACAAUGUGUUUUGGAGAUUGAAUGUUUGACGAAGCAAAACUUUUGUUGGA